UGUUGCUGGCUUUCCACAGAGUGAGAAAUCCAAGAGGGUAGCAGUGUCCUUGUCCUCUAUGACCUGGCAUCUGAAGUCACACAUCAUUCCUCCUGCAGUGUUCUGUUAGUCACAGGGUUCAUCCCUGAUUUAGUGUGAAAGUAGAUUGUAUCACGGCGUGAAUACCAGGAGGUGGGGAUCACUGGGGGCCAUCCUAGAGGCUGACCCAGGCAGAAUAAAGGAGGCUGUACAAGAAGCAUGGCACCAGCAACUGCAACUGCUUGCUCUGGCUAACAACCACUAUCAUCAAAGUUGUCUGAAGACUUCCUGUUGCUGCGACUGGUGGGACUCUUGGUGGAAGCCCUAUUUCCACGUGCCAAUGGUUGCAGCUCCCUAAGGGAACAGGACACUGUUGAAUUCUCUAAGAAGCUCAGAGGAAGUCACUUCUCACUAUGGUGCCAUAAGGGACUUGAAGUCAUUCUAUUCAUGCUCUGUUUUUCAGUAAAGCUGCUUCUGCUUCUGGCUUUUGUGCCAUGUCUCCUGCAAGGAAUUCCCAAAACUUAAAACAAACCAAAACCCAAAGCCAACAAAAUAUAAAUAAAUAAAUAAAUAAACCAAACAAAUAAACUAAUGAAAAAAAAAAAAAGAAGAAGAAAUGAAGUCAACAUUCUGUGAGAUCCAGCUCCGAUUCUACCUUACACAAUGAUUAAACCACAAGACUUAACUUCAGCCACAGGUCACCACAAUUUUGUCAAAAACAAAAGUGCCUUAAGAUUGUAUAGUUAAAGACCUUAUCUGUUGAUUUUCUUAACAAGAAAUCAGGAAAGAGCCUCUCCAGGUAAUUGAAAGUCUCUUAGAGACCAAAAACUGCUCCUAGGGUUACAUUUAAAUAAAAGUGUCUACUUGAUUUUACUCAUCAACAAUUAAAAAACUCCAAUCUUAGCCAAGAUACCCUUUUGCAUAAGUCAUCUUACAAUGCCUUCCCUUUUUCCCCAGUGAAUGUACAUGGUCAUUGUCACAGCCAUGUGAUUUUCUUAAACAAAGUUCCCCAGUCAGUGGAUUCACAGGAUGAGAGUUGGCAUAAUACCUGUGGUGGAAAGACAGAGGAGAAAGAUCAUUGAAGGUGCUGAUGAGAGUAUCUUUGAUGAAAUUCAUCAAGGGCCCUAAGAGUGCUGGAGAAAUAAGUGAGAAAAAAAAGGUACUGAUGGAAAAGUCUUCUAAAGAAAGACUUCUCAAUGAUAUAAAAUAACACUAAUCAUAACUAAUAAUUAUCAGCCUUUAUUUGGGUAGGCGCUGCAAGAAGAACCUUAUCUGCAUUAUCUUGCUCAAUUCUUACAACAGCUUGGUGAGUUAUAUACUAUUAUUUUCUCCA